CCACCUGUGCCGUGUAAUGACCAAUGAGAAGGAAAGUGUAUGUCCCUGUCUGUGGAAGCUCAUGGUUGCUUUGACUACAUGACUGUGGCUCUGGUGAGCUGGGUGCCACCUGGAGCCCAUGCUGGGCAUUGCCUUUUGGGUACCAGCAUUUGAUUUUCUGCACUCACGUGGGAGUCCUGGCAGGACUUUACUGUUCUCGUCGGGCAGCCACUCCCUGCCCCUGCCCAUCUUGCACUUGCUGUGUGAUGCUAGGGGCUGGUGACCCUCAUCCUUGUGUACACAUUGCCUCCUUGUGGAUGACAGAGACAGAACUGCCUCAAUUAAGAGACACUUGGCGGACCCGCACAGCCAAGCCAGAAGCCCCGGGCCGCCGCCCCCUCCCUGUUUCCUGUGCCAGCCGCCCGUGUCCUCGGACCUGUUCCCACAAUCAGUUAAAACAUGGUGGAUUACUAUGAAGUUCUAGGCAUGCAGAGACAUGCCUCAGCCGAGGAUAUUAAAAAGGCAUAUCGAAAACUGGCACUGAAGUGGCACUCGGAUAAAAAUCCUGAGAAUAAGGAAGAAGCAGAGAGAAAAUUCAAACAAGUAGCCGAGGCGUAUGAGGUGUUAUCAGACGCUAAAAAAUGGGACAUCUAUGACAAGUACGGCAAAGAAGGAUUAAAUGGUGGCGGAGGAGGUGGAAGUCAUUUUGACAAUCCAUUUGGGUUUGGCUUCAUAUUCCGUAACCCAUAUGAUGUCUUCAGGGAAUUUUUUGGUGGAAGGGACCCAUUUUCAUUCGACUUAUUCGAUCGAUGACCCAUUUGAUGACUUUUUUGGGAAUCAGAGGGGUCCCCGAGGAAGCAGAAGCCAAGGAACAGGGUCGUUUUUCUCUGCCUUCGCUGGAUUUCCGUCUUUUGGAGGAUUUUCUUCUUCUGAUACAAGAUUUACUUCAUUCGGGUCCCUAGGUCAUUGGGGCCUCACUUCAUUCUCUUCCACGUCCUUUGGUGGUGGUGGUGGCAUGGGCAACUUCAAGUCCGUAUCGACUUCCACCAAGAUAGUCAGUGGCAGGAAGAUCACCACAAAGAGAAUUGUCGAGAAUGGUCAAGAAAGAGUAGAAGUUGAAGAAGACGGCCAGCUGAAGUCCUUAACAAUAAAUGGUAAGGAGCAGCCGCUGCGCU